UACGUAGGGUGCAAGCGUUGUCCGGAAUUAUUGGGCGUAAAGAGCUCGUAGGCGGUCUGUCGCGUCUGCUGUGAAAAUCCAGGGCUCAACCCUGGACCUGCAGUGGGUACGGGCAGACUAGAGUGCGGUAGGGGAGAUCGGAAUUCCUGGUGUAGCGGUGAAAUGCGCAGAUAUCAGGAGGAACACCGGUGGCGAAGGCGGAUCUCUGGGCCGAUACUGACGCUGAGGAGCGAAAGCGUGGGGAGCGAACAGG
rnacentral:rRNA from 1 species